AGUGAACGCUGGCGGUAGGCCUAACACAUGCAAGUCGAACGGCAGCACAGGAGAGCUUGCUCUCUGGGUGGCGAGUGGCGGACGGGUGAGGAAUACAUCGGAAUCUACUUUUUCGUGGGGGAUAACGUAGGGAAACUUACGCUAAUACCGCAUACGACCUACGGGUGAAAGCAGGGGACCUUCGGGCCUUGCGCGAUUGAAUGAGCCGAUGUCGGAUUAGCUAGUUGGCGGGGUAAAGGCCCACCAAGGCGACGAUCCGUAGCUGGUCUGAGAGGAUGAUCAGCCACACUGGAACUGAGACACGGUCCAGACUCCUACGGGAGGCAGCAGUGGGGAAUAUUGGACAAUGGGCACAAGCCUGAUCCAGCCAUACCGCGCGGGUGAAGAAGGCCUUCGGGUUGUAAAGCCCUUUUGUUGGGAAAGAAAUCCAGCUGGCUAAUACCCGGUUGGGAUGACGGUACCCAAAGAAUAAGCACCGGCUAACUUCGUGCCAGCAGCCGCCGUAA
rnacentral:rRNA from 1 species